UCAACGGCAGCACGGGAGCAAUCCUGGUGGCGAGUGGCGAACGGGUGAGUAAUGUAUCGGAACGUACCUUUCAGUGGGGGAUAACGUAGCGAAAGUUACGCUAAUACCGCAUAUUCUGUGAGCAGGAAAGCAGGGGAUCGCAAGACCUCGCGCGAUUGGAGCGGCCGAUAUCAGAUUAGCUAGUUGGUGGGGUAAAAGCCCACCAAGGCGACGAUCUGUAGCUGGUCUGAGAGGACGACCAGCCACACUGGAACUGAGACACAGUCCAGACUCCUACGGGAGGCAGCAGUGGGGAAUUUUGGACAAUGGGCGCAAGCCUGAUCCAGCAAUGCCGCGUGCAGGACGAAGGCCUUCGGGUUGUAAACUGCUUUUGUACGGAACGAAAAAGUCUGCCCUAAUACGGUGGGCUCAUGACAGUACCGUAAGAAUAAGCACCGGCUAACUACGUGCCAGCAGCCGCGGUAAUACGUAGGGUGCAAGCGUUAAUCGG
rnacentral:rRNA from 1 species